UACGUAGGCAGCGAGCGUUGUUCGGAGUUACUGGGCGUAAAGGGCGCGUAGGCGGCGUGGUAAGUCACUUGUGAAAUCUCUGAGCUUAACUCAGAACGGCCAAGUGAUACUGCUGUGCUAGAGUGCAGAAGGGGCAAUCGGAAUUCUUGGUGUAGCGGUGAAAUGCGUAGAUAUCAAGAGGAACACCUGAGGUGAAGACGGGUUGCUGGGCUGACACUGACGCUGAUGCGCGAAAGCUAGGGGAGCAAACGGG
rnacentral:rRNA from 1 species